CAUAAUGUUAGCAUAUGCGGUAUGUUAGCAUUUCCACUAUGUUAGCAUAUAAAUGACAUAAAACACACGUGGCUACCGGGAACCAAGGUGUGAAACAUGUGAAACUUGUGAAACAUGUAACCGGAUCACGCCUCGUCAGGUGAACGAUAAUGAGCGAGCCAGUGGGACGGGCAGACACAGACAGCAAUACUCACAAAUCCUGGAGUCUGUCCAGGGAAAUCUCAGGAGUGAAGACAUCAAGCAAUCCGAUCACCUGCUCCCAGCCAAGAGAAGACGAGAGACAAAGAGGAGAUACAUGACUGAGGGCGGAGGACAGACUGAAGGAAGGGUGGAGCUGCGUGGGGGCUCACGUUGUCGUGCUUCAUGUGCUUCAGAAGUCGCAGUUCGCGGUACGCUCGUUUGGCGAAGAGCUCUGACUGGAAGGGCCUGUGGAGUUUCUUAAUGGCCACCUGUACCCCUGUCCUGCGGUCCAGCGCCGAGCUGAGGAGACAAAGGCCGUCGAGUGGUCAACAGUCACCAACCUGCCCAAAGCCUUGGUGAAUGCGGUCAACAGCCACGAACCUCAGCAUGACUUGGGGAAAACAGACUCAUUAAGUAGUAAGAAAUUGAAACUGAGACACAGAACUGCUGGUGGGCUUUAGGGGCAGAACAACCUUUUUGAUUAGUCUUUAAUGGUCAGUCUUUAUACUAAAGAUAAAAUAGCUGGAAAACAGUACAUUUAAAGGACAAAGACGCAACACAUAGACAGCUAUAGUACAAUUUACCUAGAUGCCGACCAUAUUUUGGGCGCCAUUACAAUUGCACCAUUAUAAUUGCAUUAUAAUGAGGUUAAUAACAUUGCCUAAUGGUUUGGUACAUUGAAUUAAUAUCCUCAUUUAACAAUAUUCGCGACGUCAUGGGGCCAAGGUGGGGGCUAAUGUACUCUCAGACUAACAUGUAUUGUGCCGCACCGUUAAUAAUCUUGUAAAUAAUGUUUGUAAUGUGUACUUAUGUCAGUGAAUGUAAGUGUGCCAUAUUUUCGUGUUGUGCUAAAUGCAGAGUUUAACCUACUGUGGUGUGUUUGUGAUCAACCCCCCCCCCAGUCCAUAUUGUCCUCUGGCAGUUAAUGACAAUAAAAGUUUUUGUUGCUGACA